AAAAUGUAUAAUCUAAUACUGGAUCCUUAUCAAAUUACAAAAAUUCACAUCAUCACAUGAUACAUGCACAUCACAAGGUCGCUAUCCAUGAUCAUCACCUCAUAUACAUCACAUGCAUAUAAUAUUAAAUUCUCUAAUUCGAAUUCUAAUUAAUUGGGUUUCGAAUUAAUUUAAAAACAAAUCUUUAUUUGUUUCAAGAAUCGCAAUUUUCGUAAAAUUAUUAAAAAGAUCUAAUACAUCUCAUGUAUUAAAUUUUAAAAUUUAAAACUAAUUU
rnacentral:lncRNA from 1 species